rnacentral:rRNA from 1 species
UGGGAUAACUCCGGGAAACCGGGGCUAAUACCGGAUGCUUGAUUGAGCCGCAUGGUUCAAUUAUAAAAGGUGGCUUUCAGCUACCACUUACAGAUGGACCCGCGGCGCAUUAGCUAGUUGGUGAGGUAACGGCUCACCAAGGCGACGAUGCGUAGCUGACCUGAGAGGGUGAUCGGCCACACUGGGACUGAGACACGGCCCAGACUCCUACGGGAGGCAGCAGUAGGGAAUCUUCCGCAAUGGACGAAAGUCUGACGGAGCAACGCCGCGUGAGUGAUGAAGGUUUUCGGAUCGUAAAACUCUGUUGUUAGGGAAGAACAAGUACCGUUCGAAUAGGGCGGCACCUUGACGGUACCUAACCAGAAAGCCACGGCUAACUACGUGCCAGCAGCCGCGGUAAUACGUAGGUGGCAAGCGUUGUCCGGAAUUAUUGGGCGUAAAGCGCGCGCAGGCGGUUUCUUAAGUCUGAUGUGAAGCCCCCGGCUCAACCGGGGAGGGUCAUUGGAAACUGGGGAACUUGAGUGCAGAAGAGGAGAGUGGAAUUCCACGUGUAGCGGUGAAAUGCGUAGAGAUGUGGAGGACACCAGUGGCGAAGGCGACUCUCUGGU